UAAGAUUAUAUAGUUUAUACUUAUCAGUAUUUAAAAAGCGUUAAACGAUUUAUUGCUUUCAAACGUAAUUUUGAUACCUAUCAUAACUUUUUAUUAAUAGUGUUGAAUAAUACCAUCUUAGUUACAAUGACCUGCUUCAUUAUGCUACCCAAUGACAAAUACAGUUGACCUUUUAUUAGAACCGGAUCUUUUUGUCCAAAAUAUGUAGUAUGAAAAAUAAAAUUGAAACACAUUAAAUUAAAAAUGAGUACAAAUUUUAUAAAAUUAAGUCCAGAUAAAGCAGAUAAACGGUAUUUAAUACAAAUCAAAGUACCUUCUCUCUGUUUGUAUACAAUGUUGAGUGUAUUUAUUACAUUUAUUUUUUGUAUUUUUUGGACUAUAUGGUUUCAUCUGGAAGACUCUACAGGAACUCAUUGUGGAGUAAAAAAUUAUCUACCUUCAAUAUCUACUGCAAUUGGGAAAUAUUCAAUACAACAGUUUUUGUGGAAUCUGGCAAUAUUUGCUCAUAGUCCAAUUAGAUUAGUUGUAACCAGUAUGUACUUUCAGUACUACAGUAAAAUAAUCAAAUCAUCAUUGAAUUGGUGUGUUUUACUUCUAUGGACAU